GUAUUCAAACUAUAUUUAAAUCAAUAAUAUUAAUGUUUCAAGAAAAAGUUUAAGAUCUUCAAAAUUUAUAAACAAUCUUAAAAAUUUAAAAUUUAUUUAAAAUUUUAGUAAUGAAAGUAACUAACUGUAGAUAAUCUUUAAAUUCGAAUGUGGAAUUUCAAUUUUACAGCAAGUUUGAUACCACUUUUCAAAUUUACCUUUGAAAGAUAAUUAUUUUCAUAAUACCUUAAAUUUGUAAUUAUAAAUAAAUAAAUAAACUCUUCUAAAUUAUUUAUAAAGCUAAUCCCACCCCAUAAAUUGUAAACUUUAAAUAAUAAUUCCUAAAUCCUAAAUCUAAAUGUUAUGAUAUUUUUGAAUGAGUGUAUUUUUUUAGAAAUAAAAGUCAAUUUAGGAUGUUUUAAACAUUUUUCAAAAUUUAAAAGAGACGUGUAAAAUGAUGUAUUGUUCGAAAGGCAAGUCGACCUUUUAUACAUGUAACGAGAUGGUAGAUAGAUUCUUCUUUCAGAAAGUCCUUAUAAUAAGGCAUGAGCCGCUUAUUAAUUGAAGCUUUUAUAAGUUCUCCUUUGACGGAAGUGUAUUAAUUAUGAAUAACUAAAUGAAACACAAACAAAAUUUGUAGUAACUAUUAGAAGUCUUACAGUUUCAUUCAAAAGAACCAAUUCCUAUCUUAGGAAAAAUCUCCCCCUUCUUCUAUUUUUUGUUUCCUAUUUUCUUUUUUUUUUUUUUUUUCGAUAUAAGCAAACUAUUUAUUUCGUGCCUACAAUGUGCUCUCGUUGACGUUUUGGAUCGAAAUUUUUUGAAUAGAAUUAUAUUUUAAGUGUAGUGAAGAAGACAAAAUUCAAAAAACUGUCAAAGGUUACCGCUGUUUUGAAGGAGGUUACCGUUGUUUUAAAUUAUAAGUGGAAGAAAGAUGUGGAAGGGUAAUUACUUAAAUAAUAUCCGAAGCAUUGUAAUUAUUCGCUAACGACGCAACCGCUGGUCUGAUGGUUAGACACAUUGACUCGUUGAAUUUUUUAAGUAACUGAAUUUGGUAUACCUUCCCUUUGAAUAGUUGAAUGUAAUCUUUUUUUUUAAAUCCCUAAAUGUUUUUAAAAAACCAAGCUUAACUUAAACUGUAAAUAUUUUUAAACAUACGGCAUUUAUUUAAACCGAUACUCUGAAAUUUUGUUUUAAUCUCAUAAACACGUAAACGAAAGUGUACAUGAAUGGUUAAGUGCCUUUACUUUAUAUAUCGACAAAAAAUUUGUUGACAUGUGUACACAUUAUAAUCAACAGGUACUUACAUGUUCUGUUUGUGGGAAAUUCAACAAACUUGAAAGAAGCACUAAGGAUUAGUAUUUGUUUGGUUAAAGUUGAAAAGAAGACCAACCAAACCCAUGUGCAUAAAAAUAAUAAUAUAGAGUACUUCUGCAUAAUGAAAGUUUGUAUAUUGAUUCACGUAACUAGAUUCUUCAAAGGUAGUGAUAUUACGGAUGUGUUUUUUUGUUGUGGUAAAACAUGUAAAAUAAUAACUUAAAAAAAUCAUUAAAGAUGUCGCAAAAUCACGAGAGAAUAAUUAUAUGGACAGUAUUAACACAAGACAUCGUAUAAAGACCAAGCCAAGACAAUAGCAACAAACCCAAUACUAUGAUGUAAACCCAUGUGUGUUAGGGUUUCUUGCAAGUGAGUUAGUAGUAGUAUAAAUAGUGUUGUGUUAUGUAAUGAAGAGGUAACUUUGGUUGCGUUUGUGAAGCCCUCUCUUUAUCAUUCAUAUGAAUCAAUCCAAACUUUAUUUAUCUUGGUGACAAAUCUAAAGUCUUUCCCUUUUCUCUUUUCUUGUUCUUUGUACUUCAAUAAAGCCAUUGAGCUAUCUAGUUUAUGUUUCAAUAAAACACAACUCUAUCUUGUUUUGAGAUUAUCUACAUGCAUGGUAUCAAAGCUUCAGUCGAUUUAUGGGUCUUAUAUCUUUUUCUAGAGCUUCCUCCUACUGUCUGAAACAACAGAAGAAAAGGUUUGUCUUUUCAGUCAAGCCUCUGCUCCUUUUAUGGUUCAAAGUCCGUGUCUGAAGAAUAAAAAGAAGGUUUUGUUUCUCUUCAACGACAAAACAAAACCAGAAGGGACAGAGAAGAACUUCGAAAGCUGUCUACACGAUUUCAGAAGGGAUAGAGAAGAAUAAAGACAUAGUCAGCUUCUUCAUCACUUAUCCACGCGGCAAGUUCCUGAUUUUCAAGAAGGCACACAAGGUGCUUGAUAAAAUGCCACAAAGAAAGUUAGAAUGGUUCAGCAGCAGUUUAUAUAGUUGGCUAAUGGAUAGGAGUUAGCAAGUUAUAAGGAUAGCUUGUGGGAACUUCCUCAUUUGCUUGGUGAUGGAUACAGAGGAACCAAGAAUUGUGUGAUGAAGAAUGGUGAAAGAAUACCUCUGAGAAACUAUACUAAACUCUCCAAGUCAAAGAUACCUCUGAGGGAGUCAUGAUAGAUCUACAAGUAUACAUCAAAAUCUCACAUCUGGUUCAGAAGUCUACUGUAUGAUACAUCGUCAUGUUAUGCUUCGACUGAUGCCUCCUCCAAAGCCAAAUUCAUGUGGAUUCAAACUUGUCAGCUUUGUGUUCACCCGCUGCCAAAUUUGUGGGGGAGUAAUAACACAAGACAUAAUAUCAAGACCAAGCCCAAGACAAUACCAACAAGCCCAAUACUAUGAUGUAAACCCAUGUGUGUUAGUGUUUCUUGCAAGUGAGUUAGUAGUAGUAUAAAUAGAGUUGUGUUAUGUAAUGAAGAGGUAACUUUGGUUGCGUUUGUGCAGCCCUCUCUUUAUCAUUCAUAUGAAUCAAUCCAAACUUUAUUUAUCUUGGUGACAAAUCUAAAGUCUUUCCCUUUUCUC